ensembl:lncRNA
CACAAACUUGUUCCUUUGCUAUGUAGUUGCCUUUUCUUCAACAUAAAAAGGAUGACCAGGUUAUCUGAUCCUUCUGCUCAGUCAAAGUCACUCAUGAAAAAUGUGGAAAGCAGUGGAAAGUGCUUAAAGAAUAAGAAAAUGUAGAACAUCAACAAAAGUUCAGCUGGACCGCAGAGAUCUUCAACUAGCAGGUGAAUUUUUGUAGUUGCAACAUAACAACCCUAAAGAAGGUAAGUGCUACUGUGAAGACAUAGCUACAGACUGAAGCGAAGGUUUCACACCAACAAUCUGCUCAUUGACUGAACAAUCACCCAGUGAAAACAAAAGCUCCUGCUGAAGACAACAGAAGAUAGAGGAUGGAGUAACCUAUCUGGAAAGAAGAAGAACUGCAGAAGCCUUUGACACUCACUGUUUUCAAGCUCUCAGAGUUCCAUGGAGCCCUCACGGACUUGAGAAAUAGAAUACAUAUUGAAUGUGAGCAACUUCUGCAGUCAGCAACCUGUGAACCCACAACACAAGGAAAGAUCCCGUCUCAUUGUCCUUGCUGUAGCCACACAUAAGCUGCUCCAUUUUCUGUCUUUGUUCUUCUUGUUUUUUUUUUUGUUUUUGUUUUUUUUUCUGUGUAGUGGCUCCCCAUUUAUGCACCAAUUGCACCUAUGUUUUAUAGUACAAACCUCAUCCUAUAACACCGCAUUACACAAUGAACAAUGAAAGUUAAAUGAAAGUUUAUGAGGAAAAGGCAUGAAAGAUCAAUAUUGAUGUGCUAUAUCAAUGUUUUAAAUCUGAAUCUAACUCCUUUUUAAUUUGUUUUAUGAGGUUAUAUGCUUUGUAGAAGAACUUUGACAAUUUUAUGGCUUUUUUGUCUAAUUUCAUUUUCUUGGAAAGAAUGAUUGGAUAUUGUGUUUCACUUAAGAAGGGAUUCAGCCAGAUCCUUCAAGUGCAAAAUAGCUGAAAGUCACAAUUCGCCAUGACAUAUUUAUAAUAGGAAACAUCAAUAGCUCCAUUAAUUUAAAUUCAGCUCAAAACAUAUGAAAGAAAUGUGAGGAA